UACAGGGGGUGCAAACGUUGCUCGGAAUCAUUGGGCGUAAAGCGCACGUAGGCGGUUCGUUAUGUCGGAUGUGAAAGCCCUUGGCUUAACCGAGGAAGUGCAUCCGAAACUGGCGAGCUAGAGUACGAAAGAGGAUCGCGGAAUUCCCGGUGUAGAGGUGAAAUUCGUAGAUAUCAGGAGGAACACCGGUGGUGUAGACGGCUCUCUGGACCGUAACUGACGCUGAGACACGAAAGCGUGGGUAGCAAACAGG
rnacentral:rRNA from 1 species